UACGUAGGUGGCAAGCGUUGUCCGGAUUUACUGGGCGUAAAGAGCGCGCAGGCGGUCGUUCAAGUCGCGUGUGAAAGCCCCCGGCUCAACUGGGGAGGGUCACGCGAUACUGAUCGACUCGAAGGCAGGAGAGGGUAGUGGAAUUCCCGGUGUAGUGGUGAAAUGCGUAGAUAUCGGGAGGAACACCAGUGGCGAAGGCGGACUCACCUGGCC
rnacentral:rRNA from 1 species